rnacentral:rRNA from 1 species
UACGUAGGGUGCAAGCGUUAAUCGGAAUUACUGGGCGUAAAGCGUGCGCAGGCGGUUCGGCAAGAAAGGUGUGAAAUCCCAGGGCUUAACCUUGGAAUGGCACUUUUAACUGCCGAGCUAGAGUAUGUCAGAGGGGGGUAGAAUUCCACGUGUAGCAGUGAAAUGCGUAGAGAUGUGGAGGAAUACCGAUGGCGAAGGCAGCCCCCUGGGAUAAUACUGACGCUCAGGCACGAAAGCGUGGGGAGCAAACAGG